GGGGAGUGACGUCAAAUCAUCAUGCCCCUUAUGUUCUGGGCUACACACGUGCUACAAUGGCCGGUACAGACGGACGCAAAGCCGCGAGGUGGAGCAAAUCCUAAAAAAGCCGGUCUCAGUUCGGAUUGCAGGCUGCAAUUCGCCUGCAUGAAGUCGGAAUCGCUAGUAAUCGCAGGUCAGCAUACUGCGGUGAAUACGUUCCCGGGCCUU
rnacentral:rRNA from 1 species